rnacentral:lncRNA from 1 species
CGCAUCGCCGCGGCCCAAACUUCGACUCUGAUGUGAGCGUGAAUAAACACGAGAAACACUGUGAAGUUCGGCGGGCAGGAGAAGCGCUGGGCUAGCUGUGCCAUCAGCGCCGCACAAGGGGGUGGCCGGCCGCCGCUCUCUGCCCGGCUGUCCCUGGCGCACAGGGGGAUCCCCCCGGGGAACCUCUCAUCCCCCUGGGCCGGCGGGGAGAGCUCUGACCCUCACCUCUCUCUAAUCAACUUGAGGAAGCCUCUAACCGGCCGGCUUUUGCCCCUGUCUGAAACGCUCCUCCUCUGCUUUCCCUCCUUCGCUCCCACUCUUUCCCCGGCGGCCGGACCGAGCCGCCUGGCAGGGGGGGGUGCCCCGCUCCGCUCCGGCCCGUGCCGGCGCUCGGUUCUUCCUUACAAGGGCGCCUGCCGCCGAGCUGGGGGGAGGAGGAGGAGGAAGGGGAAGGGGAGGGGGGCGGUCACCGUGGCGGAGGAGCCUUUCCCGGAGGGGGCGGCGGGCAGCUGCUGAGUCCCUGCACGCACAAAACGCCGCAGCCCCCGGGCGACCUGUCAGCUCCGCCGCCCCCCCGGCUCCCCGCCUCGCCUCUCGCCAGAGUCAACACAGAGCUGCGAUCCAUUUGGGCGAUUUAGUUAAAAUAAAUAAAGCCGCGAAGAUUCACUAGCGAGCGAUGCAUCAUCGACCCGGAGGUUUAUUAAGAGGCUCGUUUACAGCCGCGGCUGCAGCCCCUGCUCCGUCGGAGAGGGGGAGGCCGGGCGGUGGUGUUGGGCAAGGCUGCGGCAGCCCGGGUCACCCCCGUCCUCCACACCAGCCCUCCGGCAGGGACCCGGGUCCCCCACCGGACAGCCACCCUCUGCUCGUCCCCUGUCCCCCAGAGAGCCCGCGAGGAGGGGGAAGCGGCCCACCCGACGGCUGCUGCAGAGCAUUGGUCCAGUGCUGCUCCGUUCCCCCACCACCCUGCACGGUGGCCCUCGCAGAGUGCCCAUCCUCCUCCCCUCUACCCUGAACACAGCCGGUGGCCGAACGUCUUCCCGAGGCAUUGGUGCUCGAGUCCCUCCAUCUUCAAUAAAAAUGAAGCAGACUACGAAGGCUGACA